CCUGCAUGAAUAAAGAGAUACUGCCUACAGCUCAACCAUGAGUCCCUGGUCGUCUGUUACCCGCCCGUGAAGCCAGCCCGGCGAAAACAACAUAGCCGCGGAAAACAACAACUCUUGUCUGGAAAAGUAGCUAGUGCAGAGCAGGGACUGCAUGGAUGGAGGGAGAAGACCAGAAAGGUUCAUGUGGUGGUCUGCUCCCAGCUUUAGAUGCCACGCCUAUCUGCUGAGAAUACUCAAAGGAAGUCAGUGCAUUGUUAAAACCAGCGAUUAGGCAUCUCAGAACAUUCUCAGCCUCCAGCCUAGGUCCGUUACCAUCAUCAUGAACCAAGACCCAACACCCUCUCCAGCCUUUCCCUUGAAGGAGACACUUCUUAAAAUGUCACCAGGUUCCAGAUGCCAGUAUGAUGCCAACCAGACUUCCCUGGACAGACGAUCUCACCAAUGUGUCCUGGAGCUCCACUUCUCCAGAACCCCACCCUACUAGGGAAAUAGAAAGACAGGCUGGGAGUAUGGAUCACCCAGUCAACGCCCAUGUUCAGCAGGGAAGCAAUUACAGAAGCCAGACCUUCCACCUUCUGCAUCCCACAAUGACCUUGGGUCCAUACUCCCAGAGGGAUAAAGAAUAAGAAAGCUAUCAGGGGAGGGGAUGGGAUGCAGAGUUCUGGUGGUGGGAAUUGUGUGGAGUUGUACCCCUCUUGUCCUAUGGUUUUGUUAAUGUCUCCUUUUUUAAAUAAAUAAAAGAAAUAAAAAAAAGAAUAGGGAAGCUUCCAAUGGAGGGAAUGGGAUAUGGAACCCUGGUGCUGGGAAAUGUGAGGAAUUUUACCCCUCUUAUCCUACAGUUUUGUCGAUAUUUUCUAUUUUAAAAAGAAAGAAAGAAAGAAACCUGUGGUCCAGAGUUUUAUAACAGUAGACCCAGACUUGUAACAUCAUUACCACUGGAAACACUGCCUUUCCUGACUCGGAAGUGUAGGCCAAUGACAUCUCUAACAUCUGUUUUGCUGUUUUCGGGGCUUCACCACUAUGAAUGUACUCUCGACAGAGAGAGACAGGUAGAGAGGGAAAGAUGCAGCACUGAAGUUUGUUAACUGCCGUGAAACAUGGCAGAGCAGGAACACCCCACCCCCGCCACCGCCCCAGGUGACCUAUCUUCCUGGUCCUUUGGCAUUUGUCUCUAUACUAGUUAAACUGCCCUACCCCAACUGAAAAGUAAUUUUUGCCACUUUGCCAAAGGCAAGCAGAACGUCAGAAAGGAGGUCAAAUACUUUGGAUAAGUUCAAAACGGUGGGAGUCUGAACCCUCCAAGAAACUAUUUAGAGUAGGUGUGUGUG